rnacentral:lncRNA from 1 species
GGCAAAGGUCACACGGCCACCAGGAGCUCCUGGAGCUGACUUCUUGGGUGUCCCGGCUCCUCGGGCUCCACGGACGACAGCCUAAGGGCCAGGACCCCGCUGUAUGACAGAUCGUCAUGUGGGCAGCAGACAAAGCACCUAGCCUGUGUGACACAAGCGAGAUAUCAAACGCCUCCCGGCGCCUCUUCAUUGACUAGAAAUGUUGUGCUUCGUGCCCCACCGUCUCCUGCCUAAAGGGCUGGACGCAGAGCUGGAGGGCCCGCGGACGGCUCUCAGGCAGCCCAGCGAGCUCUAGGCCGGGGGCCCGACGUGGCCUGGGGGGUCCUGCUUCUCCGCAGUGCCAGCGGCCCCCGGACCCACCUGACGGGGGGAGUGUCCCUGUCCCUGUCCUCCUGGCCCACUUUCCCUUCCCCUCCCGUUGUGGGUCCAGCAGGACACGAUUACUCCUCGCAGAGGCCACAGGCAGAGAGGGACUUGCUGAAGGCCGAAAUAGGGACGGGAGCGCCCGGCCGGGUCCCCCAACCUGAGGAAGGCUGCGGACCUCGACCCGGACGGACGCACGGGCGCACAGGCUCGCCGCAGCCACAGGGGUAUGGGGGUCUCGUGGCAGGAAGACACCCCCCCUCCCAGAGGCCAGCGGAGAGCGAGCAUCCUGAGGGGGGCUUCCAGGCGGGGUCCCCGGGGGCCCCAGCGUCUGCCGCCUCCCCACGCCCUGGGCCGGGGACACCGGGGCCCCUGUGUCUGUCCCUGUACCGGGCCCUCUGCAGCUGCCCGCUGGCUUCGCCUCGGCUGGCCUGGUACCCCAGGGACCGCACUGAGCCAGAAACGUCUGGUCUCAAAGGAAGCUGGGAGGAAACGCACGUUAAGCUAAAUGAAGGGCUGUUUCUUCUUCCAGAAUAGCUGGGGCCGCGCGCGGCCGACAAGCCUGGGGCUUGGGAGCCAGUCGAGGCACGCGCAGACGGUAAUUAAUAAAAAUGGGUAAUGAUAGACCAUCUGUCCCAGC